GGGGGAGGAAGGUUCGAUCCACUAAACUUGAAAAGGUUGUUGCAGUUAAGCAAUUGGAUAGAAAUGGGCUUUAGGGGACCAGAGGCUACUUGUCUAUUAGUUCAUGCCCUUGGGAUCAUUGGAAGAUCAUCU